CCAGACUCCUACGGGAGGCAGCAGUGGGGAAUAUUGCACAAUGGGCGAAAGCCUGAUGCAGCAACGCCGCGUGAAGGAAGAAGGGUUUCGGCUCGUAAACUUCUAUCAACAGGGACGAAAGAAAUGACGGUACCUGAAUAAGAAGCCCCGGCUAACUACGUGCCAGCAGCCGCGGGAAUACGUAGGGGGCAAGCGUUAUCCGGAUUUACUGGGUGUAAAGGGGGCGCAGACGGCGAUGCAAGCCAGGAGUGAAAGCCCGGGGCCCAACCCCGGGACUGCUCUUGGAACUGCGUGGCUGGAGUGCAGGAGGGGCAGGCGGAAUUCCUGGUGUAGCGGUGAAAUGCGUAGAUAUUAGGAGGAACACCAGUGGCGAAGGCGACUUUCUGGACUGUACCUGACGCUGAGGCGCGAAAGCGUGGGUAGCGAACGGGAUUAGAUACCCCGGUAUU
rnacentral:rRNA from 1 species